AUAGCUCACCAGUGGUUAACAUCAGAAAUCUCUGUUUGGCCUCAAAUUAGUAUUUCAUCAUUCCUGACGUAAUUUUAUUGGUGACCUGAUGAUAUUGGAGAAUUAUUUCUCCAAUUAAAACAUAAGCAGCAAAUGCCCUUUUCUUGUUAGCGCUCUGGUGCCCCACCUCAAUCAUUUGCAAACAAUGUUGGAGAAUAUUACAGGAUUAAACAAGUAUUUGACUAUUUGCAGAGAUCUUUUAUAUUCAUUAUUCUUUCUAUUGAAUGUGGAAGACAUGGUUGUCUUCAUUUUCUGAAAUAAUGGAAAAACCAUUACAGUGGUUUCAGGGAGCUAGUAGUACAACUGUAACUAAAUCAACGAUGUCAACAGGUAAAAAAAAAAACAAAAAAGAAUAAAUAAAUAAAAGGAGGGAAUUUUUUUUUAUUAGGUAAUCAUACGAAUAGAGCUAGAGAAGCUAUCAAAACAAAAACUAUGCCUACUACAAGUUUAGCAGUGUAAGAAGCAUCUCAUGUAAAUUGCAGGCUAGGUAAAACCUCUCAAUGAUCAUCUGAUGUUGAAAUCCUUCGUGUAUUAUACGAUUUGCAGUGGCUGCACUUUAGCCCAACAAUAUGAAAUGCAGUUUUGCUAGUUUCAUUGCAGUCAUUGCAUAAGAUUGAAACCUGCAAAACAUCCAUGAAACUCAGAAUUCUGCUUUCAAGUGAUGGAACAAUAGUUGAAUGUUUGUGCAUGUUCCAAACCAGGGAUAACAGAUGAAGUGGAAACCCAGGAAAAUUAUAAAAUAAUGCUCAAGACAGGAUUUCCAUCUUUCAGAGAAAAAGGGAUGCCACUGAAUAAGGGAUGGAGCCAAAAUCCAUGGCUUGUUAUUAAAAUAACAAGGUAAAAUAUUGCUUGGAUGCGGGGUACUUCUACUAUCAACUUAAGAAAGCUUUUAAAAGCAGCUUUAGGGAAAUAUUGAGCAACAUCACUAGAGGAAACUUACCCUCCUCCAUAAACAAGAAUACAACUUUUCACAAAAAGGGCUUAUAAUGCACAUUCCAAUUUUCUGCCAACUUGGCUUAAAUCCGAAUUGCACGACUCACUGAUGGAGAAACAUGCAUUGACACCAAAGCAUAGACAUUCUGCUCUUCAGAAUUAAUUAAGAAAAAGUCCACUCUAGAUGUUGGUAAUGGGCAAGUUGUAUAUAACAUGAUAUCUUCUCUCUCUUCACAUGAGAACUCUAAAAGGAAACUACUAUGACUAACUUUCUGAGGCCCUUAGUAAAUCUAGUACGUAACAUUUGGAGUUACUUCUAAACCAGGUGAACAAUAAACAAGAAUCUAUUGCACGUGAACAAAUAACAUAUUGGUAGAGUAGACACUGCAUGUUUGUGGCAUCUAAACUAAAAAGGAAAAUAUGGAUGAAAAGAGUACCUCAUACCGGUAUUCCUCAGGCAUUUGAAUAGCUUCAAUCUAUCAAAAAAAACCUCAACAAUGUUAGCAUAAUCACUUCUUUAUACAUGAAAAAGUAAUUGUGAGUAAUUGAGCAGGAGUUAUAAGCAAUCUCAUGCUGUCAACUCCUUAAUAAUUCGCAACACAUGCAAAUUGUACAAAAAUCAGUAGUUUCUUCGCAUCAGUCGGUCACAAUGAAAGCAUGCACGCAAUUUAUGGCUACCACUGACGAGUAUCUAGGCUCCCAAAGCAGUUAUUUAAGCUUGGUCAAGUUCUCACUAGUUUAUUUCAGCAGUGCCCAAAAUUGUUCAAUAAUAAUGCAAAUAAAGCAGAUGAUCCAGGCAAGGGGGCAAGUGGAAAUGGGAACAUGGCCAAACAUGUAACAAAAAGGGUAUUUGCACCUUUCAGAUGAUCUUUGGCAUUGCCAUGUCAUCCAUUGACUACUUUUCAGUAUUUACUUGACUGCAACACACCAAAUAAGUACAUAUAUGCAGUCAAUUUUUACUUCAAAAGAAGGUGCCUAUCCAGGUGAUACAGUCUGAUGUCCCUAUAUACCAACUGUUCCCAAUCACAAAAUUUCAGAGCCUGAUAUAAUGUCACAAUCUCCCACUGAAGAACAGCUCAAGUGUUUUUGGCAUGCCAUGUGAUAACUGUGUAGAAGAAACAGAGAAAUAUACCUGCCAUAGAAAUCUGUUAACAGUUUGCUACUGAAUAACAUAAUCCUAAGACUCGUGAAAAUUUAAACCAGGAAGACAACUACCAGUAAAGGCAAGUUUUCACUAAUUUGAUACAUGUUAACACUUCAAUUUCAAAUUUGCACAAAACUGUUAUGCUGGACAAGGGCAAAAAUUCCAUACCUCCUGAUCUAGCAUUCUCCAAUAAUGUGACACUUUCAGCACAGUCUUGGAACAGAUUGGACAACGGUACCUAGUUGAUGAAUUCUGACAUUAUAUUCAACAUAUAACUGGAUGAAUUGUCAAACUAAACAAAACAAAUAUGCAACUAAAAUUUAUUAAAAGUUUACUGAUUUUGUUCAGCCAUCAGAUUGAAACAAUCUAAGUGCAUAGUAUGUCCACACUUCAAAACUGUUGCACCUUUAACAGAGUCAAAAAGAUACUGUUGGCAAAAAAAGGUUGUUAGAACAAAGAACUCUGUUCAAUGCUUCAACAAUUACAAUGAACAAAUUACAAACCUCAUAACAGAUUGGGCAGUGGUUCUUCAUCGAGUUCUCAAUGCAAGAAUGAUUAUUCUGCAAUUCCACUCGAUAACAAGAACCUAUUGCAGUUAAAUAAUUAGAGAAGGUAAAGCAAAGUCUCAAGGUCCACAAAAUAAUAUGUAUACUUCCAAGACCAUAUUAAGGCUUGUGCAAUAUAUUCAACCAUUAACUAGAAAAUUACACGCACUGCUAAAGGACAGACUACAUUACAGAUAAUAACACAAUAAAAGGUUAAAGUAAGAAAGAAACUAAUUAGUAUCAUAUAACUGUAUUUUCAUUAUUCUAGGUAGGCAAUUCCCAGAAAUAAGGCCACUAGAUGGAUAACAACUUAAAAAAGUGUUAACACAUUAAACUUAUCAUUGAAUGUAUUCAAGACGUACACAACAUUCUUCUUUAUGAUGUGAUGAUAAUUGUUUGUCUUGCAUAUUAACAACUUGGUAAAAUUAAUGCUAUUCCUUAUCAAUUAUCAAUCUUCUAUCCCUAUGCUUGGCUUAGUUUAUACAUUAAAUUCUAGAAAUACAAUCUGAUAGAAACUUCCAGUAAUGGAAUCAAGCCUUUGUCACCAACUUUUUGGUGCUCAGUAAACUGAAAUGAAGGAUGGCAAAGAAUAAUAACAAAUAAAAAUGACUUUAUUAUCUUAUUUUGUUCCCAUAUGGGGGUUAUUAGGUGUUAAAAGAAGGAAAGGGAAUACAUCUUUAUACCCAUUGCUACUCAAGUUAUGUGGCACAAAUCCAUAAAAUAUAGAUCAUGUCAUAAUCUAGUAUCUACAAGCCUUCAUACAGUAUACCAUAUCAACAGCGAUUAUACUACCUGGACAUAAUAAUCAUGCUCCUCAAAAAAUCACCCUCACCCACAUAAGAGAGAAAUUAAAGAAAGAGUGAAGCUGAGAAGGGAUGGGAACUUGAUCGAGCAGACUAGUACAAGUAAUUAAAUUUCAAGAAUUUGAUCUUCAAAUUCAACUAUGCAAAGGUUCCAAUAGUGGAUAUUAUUCUUAGUUGUGAUACCUUAAUCUUAAACACCUGCAAUGGUUAAUCAAUCACAGAGGACACUCCAUAUUUUCCAACAAGCCUAAACUUUCCGUCACUGAAUAUCUAUAAAUCAAAAUAGUCAUCGUAUGUGUGCACAGUAUACAUGUGUGUGUAAGCAUAAUGAUGGUUCAAACCACAAAAGCAACCUCCUUGCAAGCAGGGCAAGGCUGUGUAUAUCUGAGCCUCCCUGGAGCCUGCAUACGUGAAGCCUAAUAUACUGGAACACCCUUUUAUGGAUGUUGGAAUGUCACAAGCAUGAGUUGACUAUGAUGCAUCAAUGGCUCAAGAAGCAUCCCUAACUUUUGAACACUCCUGGUACACCAAAUGCUAGGUUAUUGCACACAUCAACAAGAGUUAAGUCUUAGCAUGAUAUGGGCUGCACAUGCAAAUUCAUACACAGCCACUAAUAUAUUCAUAACCUAAUACAUCAAAUUAGCCAACCCUUAGGAAUUCUCAGCAUCAAUAACCACUAUAAUGAUUAAAAUUAACAUGGGCAGUAUUCCCUUCCCAAUCAGUCGUGGCUUUUAUCCAUAAACUCAAUCCUUUUAUAAAAAAUAAAAGGAAAGUGACUACUUAGUUGCAGCUAAAACACAGGCUCAUUAAUACACAAGACAUGAUCCCAACUCAAAGAAGUAUGCCAUCAGACUUCUAAGCAGCCAAUUUCUGAAUAUCCAAUUCAAUUAAAUAAAUUGAGCAUCCAUUAUACUUCCUUAACUCAACUCAACUCAGUCUUUAUCCCAAAAAUUUAGGG
rnacentral:misc_RNA from 1 species